UAGCCAGGCCGUGGACUCGUGGACUUGUUGCUCGCCCACUCUAGACUUUGCCACCGCACGCCCACUGCAUUUGCGAGUCCACCAGGCGCCGGCGAGGGGCGCGUCCAGUGCGCGUCGGCGAGGGGCGGAUCCAGCGGUUACUGGAGAGGGGGGCGUCCAGCGGGCGCCGGUGAGGGCCUGGGCAGCGGAUGCCGACGAGGGAGCAUUCGCGGGCGCCGGCGAGGGUCUAGGCAGCGGGCUCCGACGAGGGAGCAUUCGCGGGCGCUGGCGAGGGCCUGGGCAGCGGGCGCCGUCAUCGUCCUCCUCCCUCCACUCAGACAUGGCAGGCGCUGCGCCGCUGCCUCCCUGCUCCAGAUCUGGAUGGCGCCGCCACCUCAUCCAGAUCCCCUGACGGCCGCACCAGAGAGGGGGCAAGGCGAGCAGAGGAGGAGAGAGAUACAGGAGGAGGGAGAGGGUCCGAGACCGGGGGCACUCGCCUGACUGGGAUUGUAAAAAUGUUGGCGACAUUGUGAAGCCUAGGAUCGGUUGGCCUACAUUGAGCUGAGAGGAAAGGAAGUAGCUAGGAGGUAUAUGUAUAGACAUUUAUUCUAUAAAGCAACCAUUACUUUGUAGUUCUGGAGGAUACUCUAUGCAAUUACUUACAGUUCAACAUUGUUGUGUAUUUUGAUCAUAAGAACUUUCUGUAUAUACUGUGAAGUGUGAACUAUGUGUGUACUGGUGUGAAAUAUAUCAUAUUGUGAAACAUGGGAUUCAAAAA